UACGGGGGGGCAAGCGUUGUUCGGAAUUACUGGGCGUAAAGGGCUCGUAGGCGGCCAACUAAGUCGGAUGUGAAAUCCCCAAGCUUAACUUGGGAACUGCAUCCGAUACUGGAUGGCUUGAAUCCGGGAGAGGGAUGCAGAAUUCCAGGUGUAGCGGUGAAAUGCGUAGAUAUCUGGAGGAAUACCGGUGGCGAAGGCGGCAUCCUGGACCGGCAUUGACGCUGAGGAGCGAAAGCUAGGGGAGCAA
rnacentral:rRNA from 1 species